UUAAAGUUAGACCCAGAUUCGGGAGCUCAAGUCCCUGAAUGAUCCAUGAAAUUCGUCCAUCUUGGGAUGCUCACUCUUGAUUGGCCUGACCUACCUCAUUGGGUGAUGAUGGCUGAUGUCUUGGUCCACCCCUCUGAUCACUGUACCACACUGGAGGAAACGGUAGUGGAGAUAAGAGCCCACUUCCAGUUCAUUGGAAGAGAGACCGGCUCUAAAACCGAUUGAUACAAAUUGUCAGGAUCUGGCUUGUCCUGCCCCAGCAGCUGCAGGAUCGGGGCCAGCCUGACUCAGGAAUGGCCGGGUGUUUGCAGGAUCAGGCCCUGGCCUGUGUAGCAGCUGCUGGGCCACUCAUGAGGCUCACCUGGAAACCUGGAAGGAAGGCUUAUUUAAGGACCGGUUCUCCCUCCCAGAACGGGUCUAACAGAAAUUUUUUUUCCUGAUAUUCAACCAAUAAUCUUAUUAGACCAUCAAAAUUUUAAACAUGGGGAACCUUGAGAGUCCUAUCAGGUCCUUCUUCCAGGGAGACCUUGAAGUUCUUGAGAAGAUGGGAAGUUCUUGAGAGACGGCUCCAAAAAUCAUCCUCUUUCAGCAUCUGAAUAAUCGCCGAGGAUGUCCUCUGUUGCCUUUGGCUGAAACAUAUCGCUCCCAUUUCGUAAGCAGAAGCGUCCUGCUGGAUUCAAAAGCUUUCCUAUUCCGAAUAUUUAAAUUUAAAAGUUCCUUCUUUUGGGACAACUUCUCUCCCCUCAUGUCGUUAUAUUUGACGGUGGGGGCCACGUUUUCGUCGUUUAGCGCAGCCAGGUUUGCCUCCAGUCGUUUUUCGCUUUGUUUUUUUUCCAUCGUCUACUUUAAUGGGAAAAACAAUUAAAAUUUAUGAGGUGGAUGAUGCUGAGGCACACUGGAUUUCCUUUUUACCUGGCUCGCCCGCGGAUGGAUGUCUCUUUGGGAUCUCCGACAUUGAAGGGAAAAGCUGGCUGGGUCUGUAGGAGAGAGAGAAAAAAAACACACAACCCAACACCUCUGUCCACUUCUUCAAUUCUAGAAGAGGUAAAUUACUGCCGACCCAGAGAAGUAGUUAUUCAUACGCCAAUAGGUGAGGCUGAAUCUCUGUGCCUCUACACACGUGUAACGGAGAUGGACACCCUUCAAAUCCGCUCCUGAUGAGGCGGCCCUUUCGACACAUUCAUGGCUCCGCAUGGCUCCCCAGUGACUCAGGACCUUUUGUUGAAGCACAUAUGAAAUUAAGUGAAAUAAAAAUCAUAUUAAAAAUUAUUACCGCCGAACA
rnacentral:lncRNA from 1 species